rnacentral:rRNA from 1 species
UACGUAGGUGGCGAAGCGUUGUCCGGAUUUACUGGGCGUAAAGAGCGCGCAGGCGGUCGUUCAAGUCGCGUGUCGAAAGCCCCCGGCUCAACUGGGGAGGGUCACGCGAUACUGAUCGACUGGAAGGCAGGAGAGGGUAGUGGAAUUCCCGUGUAGUGGUGAAAUGCGUAGAUAUCGGGAGGAACACCAGUGGCGAAGGCGAACUAC